GAUUUUAUCACUUGCAAGAAGUGGUUCUAAUCCACAAUUUCCUGCAAGCUGUCAACAGCACAAUGCACAUGGGCGGGGGACGAAACAUCACAUUUUAUAUUAUAAACCCGAGGGAGGAAAUCUACCCCAGAGUGGGAACGAUUGUGGUGUCAGGAUAUCCGUAAGGAAAUAUCAGGAUGCUCAUCAAUAAAGCCAAGUCUUUUUCCAAGUUCGGUGUGUAUGUGAUGGAUGAAAAAGGAACAAUAAAUAAAAAAUUGAUGAGUAUUUAGGAGGCCCC
rnacentral:lncRNA from 1 species